UUGUUUGGAUUUCACUUAAAAUAUCCUUCUCUAAGGUUUUUUCAUCCUCAUUAGAGUUCUCCUCCAUUUAAUUUUCCGAUGUUGGUUAUCUCCAUCCCCGUGAAUCACCUGUCUUAUCGUCAUUUCGUUAUCUUCGGUCAGAACAUACAAAUCUAGAUAUUAAUCUUUCAAACACUAUGCCAAAUUUGUCUCUUAGCAGCACCCCUACGAAAGCGCUUUUAGGAAAAAUAGUUGGUAUAGGUUUCGCUAAAAACAAAAUAAAAAAACACGCAAAAAAAGAGCUCUUAUAGGGGGGGUUACGAAAGAGCUUUCAAAAGGCGCUCUUAUAGGGGGGUUACGAAAGAGCUUUCAAAAAGCGCUGGUAAAGGCAUGGGUACGAAAGUGCUUCUCAAAAGCGCUCUUAUAGGUGGGUUAUGAAAGCGCUUUUAAAAGCGCUGCUAUAGGGGGUGGGUUACAAGAGCGCUUUUACCCUAAAAAGCGCUAGUAUAGCCGUGGUUACAAAGGCGCUUUUCAAAAGCGCUUUCAUAGUUGUUUCAUAAUUAAAAUUUUUAAAAUCAAAAUUAUUCUAAUGCGUUUCAUAAUUCCUAAUCCUCUUUCUCUACCAUCGCUGCCCAGAAACUGCAAACUCAACCUCAAAACCUCAAAACUCCAUCGCCGAAGAAGACGGAGACGAAGAACUUAACCUCAAAACCUUACCUCAUCCUCAAAUCCGCAGCACUUAACCUCCAUAAAAAUACCCUCCACAACCCACGCCCAGAAGAUAAAGACGAAAAAGAAUUCGAGAAUAAUCGCUGGAGAAGAGAUCGCUAAAGAAGAGAAGACGAAAGAGGAAUAUCUUUGCUAGAUAGGGGUUACUUGUGAAGAGUGAAAGUUUGAUCGUUUUCAAGAAUCUUACAUUAUGUGGGUCUAGAAGUUGCUUACUACUAUACAGGUUCAAUGGCUAGCAAUCAAGAAAACUCACAAGAAAACUCACAAGAUAGAGAUGCUCCGAAUACAAAUCCUCCACCUGAUACAUCAUCAAAAGAAGUUGCAUGAGGCAUCACCAUUAUGAAGGGAAUCAUUCGACAUAGAGACCAAGGAAUAAUAUACCAUUUGGAAUGAAAUUCUGAUAACCAACCAAUUGGUCCUAAUUCUGCAAAGUUGACAAGCUAUAUUGGUACACUUGUUCGUUUGCAUAUUCCAGUCUAUGUAGCUAAAUGGAAUCUGAAAAGCAAAGAGUUGGACGAUAAAAAAAACAUGAUUUGGGACGAG